ensembl:snRNA U2 U2 spliceosomal RNA
AUUGCCUCUUGGCCUUUUGGCUAAGAUCAAGUGUAGUAUUUUAAGAGAAUUAAAUGAGCUGAAAAGAUAAGAGGGUUCUUUCCAUCAAAUUCACAGAUUUUAGCUAUUUCUUACUGAAACAAAAAAAAAAUUUUUUAAAAAACUUGUUCUCAGGGCCAGGGAUUCAGCUCAGUGCUUCUGCUACCUGCCUUGCAAGCUCA